rnacentral:lncRNA from 1 species
AAAAAUCAUAAAAAUACAGAAACGGCUAGAGUGUUACUGCCCCAUUGGAUAUUUUUCUUUUUGAUUGAUUUCUGAAGUUUCCAAGGCUUACACAAAUCUUUUGAUAUAGUUUAAGAGUUUAUAUGGAGUGAUAUUGAGUUUUUUUGAACAGCUUACAGGUUCGAUUAGUUAAGGGCUACUGUUCCAUUGAGUUUUCAAGCUGGUCUCAGCAUCCCCAUUAUUGAAUCUGGGUUGUAUUGUCGUUGAUUCAUUCCUGUUGUUACUCUACUGACUCUUCACGUUUUCUUUUCCAUUUCAGAUCUCCGGGUAUAUCCUCAAAACUGUAAUGGAAUCGAGUAGUCUAUAUGAAAAUCUAGAUUUAAAUUGGAGUUUGAAUCGAAAUACUGAUUCCUAGUGCAAUUGUUGCUAAUUUCAAUCAUUGUAUGCUCGAGUUGUUCAUUAGAUGAAGUGUUUGAAUGUUAACAUUGUAAUAGUGUUUAGAUUCUUCUUGUAUAAAUAAACUGUUGAACUGUUUGUGGGGAGAUGGACAUGAGGUCCCAUUUGGUUGAGUGUUCAGUAAUUUGAAACCUUUGUUGAG